rnacentral:lncRNA from 1 species
AGUGUCUGCUGUGACACGAAUUUGACCCACACAAGGAGCCAGUGCACUGUUUCAGCCUUUGAAGGGAGACGAGUGGUUGGGGGAAGCCAGAGGGAGAUGCCAUUCUUUCACUUUGACCUUGUAUUCGAAGACUGUAUUUGCUUUUAGACAAGUAUUGACUUUAUGCAAGGCCAGCCUCGUUGAGCCUGAUGUAGCAUGUUCCUCCGUAAAUUUUAAAGGACUGCAGGUUCAAGAGGCAGCUUUUAACUCUCAGACGUUUGAAAAAGUUAAGGUGAUACCAUCAUUCUUCAAAGGAGGAGAAAGCAUUAGUUUCUAAGGAGGAAGGAGGAUGAGGCAGAGUCCCCAUGGCUUUUUUGUUUCCUAUGUUUCUCUCAUUUUUGUUUAAUCAUAACCACAGAAAAAACACUUCAACUUUCUGUCUUGCAUUUCAGGAACAACGCUGAAUUCUGGAAGAAAAAUCGUGGCAAUAAGCAUCAUGCAAUUUGCUCCUACUUUUAGAAGACAUGUCCCAAAACAGUCACUAUUUAACCCAUCAAUAGCCUUCAGAAGGAGAACGGUGAAAGAUUAUAAAACUCCCUGGAAAAUAUGUGAUGAUCUAAACUAUGUAAAGGACUUCCUGCUGAGUCACUCAGAAACUGGAGGUUACCCUCAUCUGGCAACGUGAGGGCAGCAACACCUGCAGUGGAGAGAAACCGCUUAGCUGACAUGGCCUGAGUUCCAACAGCCUGGAGACCCUCUGAGCCAGUGGCCCUGUGGCCCCGACAAGGCAGAGGCAAGCACUCAUUCUGUGGGUAAGGCUCCCUUUUGAAAGUGGGAACUGUUUCCAAUGCUUCACCCCUCCCGGCUCCUUCCCACUCCCCAGAUCUCAUUCCUGAAGAGCCCGUCACAGGCGAGGAGGGAAAGCCAGCCACGUGCACCCUGCAGCCCCUCACCCCUGCACCUGAGUGCUCCUCCCGGCUGGGCCCUGUGUUGAUAUUUUGUCUGGCAUGCAGCUUCAGAUGGUGUGAAAAUUCCUGACACUCCAGUAGCAAAAGCAUGCGAUGCAGAAUAAGAUGAGGGGAGCUGAAAGAGGUGGCUGUGCCCAGAACGGUGACUAGAACGGCAUGAGUGCGUGCUGAAUCGCGGCUCCUGUUCAUGGAGAAUGUGUUGCUUCAUGUAGUUAUUUAUGCAUUAUGCUGGACACUUGAUAAUAGUUAACAUUGGCUGAGUACCAGGUGCCAGGUAAUAAGCUAAGCACCGCACAAGGAUGACCUCAUAUCACUUUAUAAAGAUGACAUUAUUGUCCCCAUGUUUUAUUUUUCAUUAUUAUUAUUAUGUUUUUGAGACAGAGUCUCAUUCUGUCACCCAGGCUGGAGUGCAAUGGUGUGAUCUUGGCUCACUGCAGCCUCUGCCUCUCAGGUUCAAGUGAUUCUCCAGCCUCAGCGUCCCGAGUAGCUGGGACUACAGGCAUGUGACACCGCGUCUGGCUAACUUUUGUAUUUUUAGUAGAGAUGUGGUUUCACCAUGUUGGCCAGGCUGGUCUCGAACUCCUGACCUCAGGUGAUCCACCCGCCUCAACCUCCCAAAGUGCCGGGAUUACAGGCUUGAGCCAUCACCCCCUGCCCUGACUUUUUAGGUAAGGGAAAACUCAAGUGUCGAGAGGCUCAAUAACAUAACCAAGGUAACUCUAAUCCAGGCCCUCUGCCUCAGAGCCUGAGCUCCCAGCCAGUUGGGGAUAUUGCUGGGGGCUCCCAAGUUGGUGCUGGGGUCUCCUG